GAUGAACGCUGGCGGCGUGCCUAAUACAUGCAAGUCGAGCGAACGGACGAGAAGCUUGCUUCUCUGAUGUUAGCGGCGGACGGGUGAGUAACACGUGGAUAACCUACCUAUAAGACUGGGAUAACUUCGGGAAACCGGAGCUAAUACCGGCUAAUAUUUUGAACCGCAUGGUUCAAAAGUGAAAGACGGUCUUGCUGUCACUUAUAGAUGAAUCCGCGCUGCAUUCGCUAGUUGGUAAGGUAACGGCUUACCAAGGCAACGAUGCAUAGCCGACCUGAGAGGGUGAUCGGCCACACUGGAACUGAGAAACGGUCCAGACCCCUACGGGAGGAAGCAGAAGGGAAUCUUACGCAAUGGGCGAAAGCCUGACGGAGCAACGCAGCGUGAGUGAUGAAGGUCUGCGGAUCGUAAAACUCUGUUAUUAGGGAAGAACAUAUGUGUAAGUAACUGUGCACAUCUUGACGGUACCUAAUCAGAAAGCCACGGCUAACUACGUG
rnacentral:rRNA from 1 species